rnacentral:rRNA from 1 species
UAAGGAAUAUUGGACAAUGGAGGCAACUCUGAUCCAGCCAUGCCGCGUGAAGGAAUAAGGCCCUAUGGGUUGUAAACUUCUUUUAGACGGGACAAAACCCCUUUACGUGUAAAGGGUUGAUGGUACUGUCAGAAUAAGCAUCGGCUAACUUCGUGCCAGCAGCCGCGGUAAUACGAAGGAUGCAAGCGUUAUCCGGAAUUAUUGGGUUUAAAGGGUGCGUAGGCGGACUAAUAAGUCAGUGGUGAAAGCCUGCAGCUUAACUGCAGAAUUGCCAUGGAUACUGUUAGACUUGAGUACAGUUGAGGUAGGCGGAAUGUGUCAUGUAGCGGUGAAAUGCUUAGAUAUGACACAGAACACCGAUUGCGAAGGCAGCUUGCUAAGCUGUAACUGACGCUGAGGCACGAAAGCGUGGGGAGCAAACA